UGGCGAACGGGUGAGUAACGCGUGAGGAACCUGCCUCAAAGAGGGGGACAACAGUUGGAAACGACUGCUAAUACCGCAUAAGCCCACGACCCGGCAUCGGGAAGAGGGAAAAGGAGCAAUCCGCUUUGAGAUGGCCUCGCAUCCGAUUAGCUAGUUGGUGAGGUAACGGCCCACCAAGGCGACGAUCGGUAGCCGGACUGAGAGGUUGAACGGCCACAUUGGGACUGAGACACGGCCCAG
rnacentral:rRNA from 1 species